GGGAAACCCAUCCAUCUGUCAAGAUGUGAGUCACCAGUGUGAUGUCAUCUGAAUCUCAACUGAUUCCAUUAAUUUUGACUGUGAAAGAGGAAGUCUCUCUCAGAGCAUCUGGUAACAGUCUACAUGUUCCCUUUGAUUGGACCACCUUACGUCACAUGGUGACUGAUUGGCCUGGCCUUAGCCUUGGAUUCUACUUUUGGAACCAGGGGUGAACUCAACUUCCCUGGUGUCCUAUCUCCCCAAAUAAGAGGAUGGAAGCUUGUGGGAAAUUGGAACAUUUACAUCGAUCAGCAAAUGGAUGGUGGCGAUUCAGUCAACCCACACACACUAUACUAUGGGACUUCUGAGAAUGAAACAACUUUAUUAAAUGUCUACUUAUGUA